AGUCCUCCAGCUUGAUUUUUAUUCUUCAGGAUAGCUUUGCCUAUUCGUGGUCUCUUUUGUUGUCAGAUGAAUUUUUAUAUCUUCUUUUUGUUUCUGA